GCCGCGGUAGUAUAGCCCGGACAAGUAUGCGGGCCUUUCGAGCCCGUGACCCGGGUUCAAAUCCCGGCCGCGGCACCA
rnacentral:tRNA from 2 species